AGAUGGGAGCUUGCUCCCUUUGUUAGCGGCGGACGGGUGAGUACACGUGGGUAACCUGCCUGUAAGACUGGGAUAACUCCGGGAAACCGGGGCUAAUACCGGAUGGUUGUUUGAACCGCAUGGUUCAGACAUAAAAGGUGGCUUCGGCUACCACUUACAGAUGGACCCGCGGCGCAUUAGCUAGUUGGUGAGGUAACGGCUCACCAAGGCAACGAUGCGUAGCCGACCUGAGAGGGUGAUCGGCCACACUGGGACUGAGACACGGCCCAGACUCCUACGGGAGGCAGCAGUAGGGAAUCUUCCGCAAUGGACGAAAGUCUGACGGAGCAACGCCGCGUGAGUGAUGAAGGUUUUCGGAUCGUAAAGCUCUGUUGUUAGGGAAGAACAAGUGCCGUUCAAAUAGGGCGGCACCUUGACGGUACCUAACCAGAAAGCCACGGCUAACUACGUGCCAGCAGCCGCGGUAAUACGUAGGUGGCAAGCGUUGUCCGGAAUUAUUGGGCGUAAAGGGCUCGCAGGCGGUUUCUUAAGUCUGAUGUGAAAGCCCCCGGCUCAACCGGGGAGGGUCAUUGGAAACUGGGGAACUUGAGUGCAGAAGAGGAGAGUGGAAUUCCACGUGUAGCGGUGAAAUGCGUAGAGAUGUGGAGGAACACCAGUGGCGAAGGCGACUCUCUGGUCUGUAACUGACGCUGAGGAGCGAAAGCGUGGGGAGCGAACAGGAUUAGAUACCCUGGUAGUCCACGCCGUAAACGAUGAGUGCUAAGUGUUAGGGGGUUUCCGCCCCUUAGUGCUGCAGCUAACGCAUUAAGCACUCCGCCUGGGGAGU
rnacentral:rRNA from 1 species